AUUCCAACUGCAAUUACGAUAUCGGUUUCACUCUCCCAUCUCCUCUCUCUCUCUCUCUCUCUCUCUCUCUCUCUCUCACCUCAUCAACCCUAAUCUCGCCUAAAGCAAUAGAAACAUAAUUCACUUCCCCACUCUCUCUCACCUUAGAUCUGUGAAGCAAGCCUCCUCCAGAAGUCGUGCGUCGUUAUCUUGCCGCUCCGUUUGGAUCUGUAUGCCCUGUAGCUGCUUCCCCUUUUGUCUCACUGACCUCGUCGAGCUUCUCUUCUACUUAGGAACAUGGCGGCAUUGAGGCUUCCGUCGAGAACAUCUCUCCUCUGUCUCAGAAGACAAAGACGGCUUCCAUGGCGAAGCUUCGGUGGGUCGUCAGGUGUCUCUGUCGUUCUUCUGCUGCUGUCGGAGCUACUUCAAUUCAGUUGUAUCAUGUGAACGUCAAACAAGAUGCUUGGUUUAUAUUACCAAACGCUCUCUGAUCUUCUCAGUUUUAAGACAUGUUGCUCUCCCUCUCUCGGAUGGAUCUGAGUCUUGUCGAUUCAAUAUUCUUCAACAUUGGGGUUUGUUUUUAAGAAUGACUGAGGCAUCACCAUCUUUGAGGAAGCUUGUUUUCACCAAGGUUUAACGAGUCAUGACCAGGAACCAAUGGUCACUCACAGAAUGUCUUGUUUGUGAUUCCUCCUCUUCGUUGUAGACCUUGGAUGCAGAGCAGUACAUUUAAAGAUGGAGAUAUGUGAAAUCGUGGUCCACAAACAUCCAUGUGUCUAUGUCCACACCUACUUCAAAGAUGGAGAUCGGCAAGUUAACGAAGAUACUUGUUCACGAAUAGCCAACCACAAACAUCCUUGUGUCCAUGUCCACAUCUACUCUGUUCACAAACUUUCUCCAUUCUCUUCUCUACUUACUAUGCUCCACCCUUCCAUAAUCACUGACAAGGGUGUGGACCUUAGAGCAUUGAGAGUCUAAUUGUUUGGCGCAUGAAUAUGUUUAUUUGAAGUUUUCAAAGAGAAUUUUUUUCAUUGUUAAGAGACUAGACAGUUCAUGUACUAUAUUGACGUUAGGUUUUUGUUCUUU